AAACCAGCACCUCAAGUGGUCAGGAUGAUUAUUGGGCCUAAAGCAUCCGUAGCCGGCUCUGUAAGUUUUCGGUUAAAUCUGUACGCUCAACGUACAGGCUGCCGGAAAUACUGCAGAGCUAGGGAGUGGGAGAGGUAGACGGUACUCGGGAGGAAGUGGUAAAAUGCUUUGAUCUCUCGAUGACCACCUGUGGCGAAGGCGGUCUACCAGAACACGUCCGACGGUGAGGGAUGAAAGCUGGGGGAGCAAACCGGAUUAGAAACCCGAGUAGUCC
rnacentral:rRNA from 1 species